rnacentral:lncRNA from 1 species
UUGCCAUAGGGAAUAUCUAAGGCAGAUAUAGAAUGCAUGCUCAACGGCUCAAGGGUCACUGUCAGGCCCUUUUGGAAGAACAAGGUCAGUUACAUGAGGUUACCAGACAGUAAACAACUUAAGUCCUUGCCUUCCCCAUUAAGAGUUUCUAGAGAUAAGGUCAUCCCCACUUCCUCCUGGUGCAGAGAGGGAGACAUCCCCCACAGAUGGAGACUUCCUUCACAAAUGCAAAUGUCUCUCAUCAAAGGGCAAGCAAAUUCCACUCCUCAGAGCCUCCUUCUUGUCCACAGUUUUUAAAAGUAACCAGUCUAAAAUAAUAUUCAUCAAGCACAGCCAGGACAUUGUGAGACAGUCUCUUUCGCCACGUGUAUGUCUAUCUUUUUUUCUCUUUCUCUUUCUCCCCUUCUCUGUCUUCUUAUCUUUGUCUCUUGUCUCUGUGUAUUUCUGCAUCUUUCUCCAUCAGCCUUUUUCUCACAAGCUGUGUGCCCUCACACUUCUUUUUGUAGUCCUGCUUCCUUCCUCUGCUUUCUUGUGGUUUUUGUUAGUCUGUAGUUACAAGGCUUAUAUGUGACUUUGACUUGCUAUGGCCCCUGACUCUGCUGCUGUUAAAUAGAUUCAGUCUCUUAGUAUCCUGACUUCUUGUUCCUGGAAGAGACAAAAUCGAAUAGGCUCAGCUUGGGUCCAUUGUCUGGUUCAAAUCAGCCAUGAUAGGGCAAGGAGAACAAUUCCCAAGAAGGGGCUUGGCAGGUACCUCAAAAUAUGCUUACUGUAUUGAACAGGGGUCUGCAGAUUACUGGUGGCUAUUAACUAGGUAAUCCUUAUGUUAGCUGAUCUAGGCUUAGUCCUGCACAGCAAACUUUGAAUAGCAGGGCAGAUCCCUGGGAAGACCUGCCAGCAGCAUGCAUUCAUUUGGCCUACUCCCCUCCUCCUUGACUAAUACCCCCCAUUCCUCCACCCUCCACCUCAUAUGACUGACUAGUAGUCACCUGUGUUAUCUGCCAGCAUAUUGUGUGAAAGCUCUUGAAGUGCCAUGAAGGCUGUUCAACCGCCUGUGUUUAUUUCCACAUGCUGGCUCUAGGCUCUCCUCUCCAUUUGAGUGGAGGAAUGUCCAACUUCCUGACAUUUGCCUUGCUCCAGGGAAUUGGAGGUUAAGUGAAAGUCAUCACCACCUUGAUUCCAACCAGAGUUCGUUAGUUCCCCUCUUUGCUUGGCAGUAAGCUUAAGAAAACACUACGAUGGGGCCAGCCCCGUGGCCGAAUGGUUAACUUUGCGCGCUCCGCUUCGGUGGCCUAGGAUUUCACUGGUUGGGAUCCUGGGUGCAGACAUGGCACCGCUUGUUAGGCCACGCUGAGGUGGCGUCCCACAUGCCACAACUAGAAGGACCUACAACUAAAAUGUGCAACUCUGUACUGGGGGGCUUUGGGGAGAAGGAAAAAAAAAAGAAAACAAUAUGCUUUUGUUUCCCCCUAAGAAUUUGUGAUCUCGAGCACCACCCGAAUGCCUGAGGGAGAGACCUUCUUGAGACAGAUGUCUACAUGACCAUAGAAUGAGACACUAAGCUGUGCUGUGAAGUGGGAAUGCCAUAAGGUUCGGGGAGGGAGAGCUUAGUGAGGGCGUGGCUCGUAUGUUUGGGGAAGGUUUUACAGAGGAAGUGGGGGCUGAGCUAGACCUUAAAAGUGGGAGUUGCUGUUGGCCUUGACAGGAGGAGGAGGGGAGAACAUUUCUUCUAUGCCUAUAUCUGGCACCAGUAAGGAGAGAGUUUGGCUGAAGGAAAGAGUGCAAGAUGGGUAGGGGUAGGUAGAGAUGGCCCAAUAGAUUUUGUAAUAACAUAUGAGGUUCACAUAAAAGUUCUAUUUUUGGAGGCUCAGGGAAGUACUUAGAGGUGUCACUGUGGAGCCCCUUGGAUACUGUUCUCAUGUCCUCCCCAUGGAUCAGAGCAGUCCUUAUUUAGCAGGGGUAAGGUGCUAGGACCCUCAACACAGGGCCCAGAUAUCACUAAGGUACAUGAGGAGCUGGAACAUAAAGCCAGCAGUAGUGAUACGAGCCUAGGGAAUGUCUAAAGGAGCUCACUUCUCCAUGGACCUCACUGAGUAUUGGGAGGUUUGGAUAGGAAUGGGGAUGAGGGAGAUCAUUGGGGUCUGUGUGAGCUCGGGAAUGGUAGUUAGCCUCUCUCAGCCUCAGUUUGUUGCAAGUUUCAUGAGUUUAUAUUAAAUAGAAAUCAUGUUAUUGAUAUAGUAAAGCCAAUAUCUCUUCAUCUAUAAAAUGGGAAGAGGAAUGUCUAUGUUUUGGAGUUGUGAGAAUUAAUUGAGAGGAUGUAUGUGAAACUGUCAAGCACAUGACAGGCUUUUUCCUUUUUUACACUUGCAUGCAAAAUAUUGUUUCUCUAAUUCCUGGGUGACCUUCCACCUGUAUUCAAAUUCACCUCAUUUAUUGAUGGGCCUCUCUUGUCCCCACUCUCUAAUGUGGCCAUGGAGAGGUCUUAUUUGUUUUUUUGUUGGUUUUUUUUGAGAGAGAUUAGCCCUGAGCUAACUACUGACAAUCCUCCUCUUUUUGCUGAGGAAGACCAGCCCUGAGCUAACAUCCAUGCCCAUCUUCCUCUACUUUAUAUGUGAGACACCUACCACAGCAUGGCUUUGCCAAGCGGUGCCAUGUCCGCACUCGGGAUCCGAACCAGUGAACCCUGGGCUGUGGAGAUGCGGAACGCGCAAACUUAACAGCCGCGCCACCAGGCCGGCCCCCAUGGAGAGGUCUUAUGCUGCAGGUGGUUUGGAACCUUGGGAGUCUGAGUGGGAGAGAGUGGGUGCUGUCCACCAUUCCUGAGCCUGGGAAGGAUUUCUAAAAAUGGUUCCUGCUGUCAGAAUGUAUGAAAAUGUGUUAAUGUGUGCCUUUGUAUCUUUGCUUGUCAACAGUGAUGGGAUAUUCACGGAAGCUUUGAGCUGGGGCAGAUGG